CCUACGGGAGGCAGCAGUAGGGAAUUUUCGGCAAUGGGCGGAACUCUGAACGAGCCAAGUCGCGUGAACGAAGACGUUAUUCGUGAUGUAAAGUUCUUUUAACAGGGAAGAAAGAGAAAUUUGACGGUACCUGAAGAAUAAGCACCGGCUAACUAGGUGCCAGCAGACGCGGUAAUAGGUAGGGAGCGAGAGUUAUCCGGAUUUAUGGGGCGUAAAGGGUGCGUAGAUGGCAUAGUAAUACUCUGGUAAAAAUGCUGGCCUCAACCCAGUAGGGCAAAAGAUACUGCAAAGCUAGAGUAUGACAGAGGCAAGUGGAACUACUGGUGUAGCGGUAAAAUGCUUAAAUAU
rnacentral:rRNA from 1 species